rnacentral:misc_RNA from 1 species
UCAGGAACCGCCGGUUUAGGUUCAGUGAAAUCAUGAACCUGAACCAAACUGCCAGAGACAGUUUGGAAGAUAGUUCCUGAACCACCGGUUUCGGUUUGAGUCUCGAUUUAAAACGGUUUGAAGGGUGGUUCGAAAAAGAACGGUUCAAAACAGUUUGGAGUACGGUUUGGAAGUGAUUUAGGGAUGGUUUAAGGAUAGUUUAGACAAAAAAAAUUAGAGAAAA